rnacentral:tRNA from 7 species
GCUAUUUUGGCAGAUAAGUGCGUUGGAUUUAGAAUCUUUUAAUGUAAGUUUUACUUACAGGUAGUA